rnacentral:ncRNA from 1 species
ACAGACUUAGUCCUAACCUUACAGUUAAUUCUUACCAGACAUAUACAUGCAAGUAUCCGCGCCCCAGUGUAAAUGCCCACAACUCCUACUCGUAAAGCAGGAAAGAGGAGCAGAUAUCAGGCACACUCUAAUGUAGCCCAAAACGUCUUGCUCAGCCACACCCCCACGGGUAAUCAGCAGUAAUUGACAUUAAGCAAUAAGUGUAAACUUGACUUAGUUAUGGUAACCCCACAGGGCUGGUAAAUCUUGUGCCAGCCACCGCGGUCAUACAAGAAGCCCAAAUUAACUGUCACCGGCGUAAAGAGUGGUAACACGCUAUUAUUUAACUAAGACCGAAAUGCAACCAAGCUGUCAUAAGCCCAUGAUGCAACUAAGACCUCCCUCAAAACGAUCUUAGCACCUAUGAUUAAUUGAACACCACGAAAGCCAAGGCACAAACUGGGAUUAGAUACCCCACUAUGCUUGGCCCUAAAUCCAGAUAUUUACCCCACUAAAGUAUCCGCCCGAGAACUACGAGCACAAACGCUUAAAACUCUAAGGACUUGGCGGUGCUCCAAAUCCACCUAGAGGAGCCUGUUCUGUAAUCGAUAACCCACGAUAUACCUAACCCCUUCUUGCCCAUAGCAGCCUACAUACCGCCGUCCCCAGCUCACCUCUCCUGAGAGCCCUAACAGUGAGCACAACAGCAUUCCCCCUAAUAAGACAGGUCAAGGUAUAGCCCAUGAAGGGGAAGAAAUGGGCUACAUUUUCUAAAAUAGAAAACCCACGGAAAGAAGCCUGAAAGAACUUCCAGAAGGAGGAUUUAGUAGUAAAGGGGGACAAGAAUGCCCCCUUAAACCCGGCCCUGGAGCACGUACAUACCGCCCGUCACCCUCUUCACAGCCCCCAAUAUCCAUAACUAACACGCCCACUAGGCCAAAGAUGAGGUAAGUCGUAACAAGGUAAGUGUACCGGAAGGUGCACUUAGCAU